UCGAGGGGUAUAGUAGCAAUACUAGAGACCGGCGCACGGGUGCGUAACGCGUAUGCAAUCUACCUUUUGCAGGGGAAUAGCCCAGAGAAAUUUGGAUUAAUGCCCCAUAGUAUAAUGUUUUGGCAUCGAGAUAUUAUUAAAGUCACAACGGCAAAAGAUGAGCAUGCGUCCCAUUAGCUAGUUGGUAAGGUAACGGCUUACCAAGGCUACGAUGGGUAGGGGUCCUGAGAGGGAGAUCCCCCACACUGGUACUGAGACACGGACCAGACUCCUACGGGAGGCAGCAGUGAGGAAUAUUGGACAAUGGGCGCAAGCCUGAUCCAGCCAUGCCGCGUGCAGGAUGAAGCAUCUAUGGUGUGUAAACUGCUUUUGUACGAGAAGAAACACUCCUACGUGUAGGAGCUUGACGGUAUCGUAAGAAUAAGGAUCGGCUAACUCCGUGCCAGCAGCCGCGGUAAUACGGAGGAUCCAAGCGUUAUCCGGAAUCAUUGGGUUUAAAGGGUCCGUAGGCGGCCUUAUAAGUCAGUGGUGAAAUCUCACGGCUCAACCGUGAAAUGGCCAUUGAUACUGUAGGGCUUGAAUUAUUAGGAAGUAACUAGAAUAUGUAGUGUAGCGGUGAAAUGCUUAGAGAUUACAUGGAAUACCAAUUGCGAAGGCAGGUUACUACUAAUGGAUUGACGCUGAUGGACGAAAGCGUGGGUAGCGAACAGGAUUAGAUACCCUGGUAGUUCACGCCGUAAACGAUGGAUACUAGCUGUUGGGGGCAACCUCAGUGGCUAAGCGAAAGUGAU
rnacentral:rRNA from 1 species